rfam:Chlamydomonas reinhardtii strain CC-503 cw92 mt+ CHLREscaffold_33 genomic scaffold, whole genome shotgun sequence.
GCCCGGUUAGCUCAGUCGGUAGAGCGCAAGGCUCUUACUCCUGCGGGGGUUGCAACCUUGUGGUCGUGGGUUCGAGCCCCACAUUGGGCG